rnacentral:rRNA from 1 species
UACAGAGGUCUCAAGCGUUGUUCGGAUUCAUUGGGCGUAAAGGGUGCGUAGGUGGCGUCGUAAGUCAGGUGUGAAAUCUCGGGGCUCAACCCCGAAACUGCACUUGAUACUGCGAUGCUUGAGUAUUGGAGAGGAGAUUGGAAUUUACGGUGUAGCAGUGAAAUGCGUAGAUAUCAUGAGGAAUACCAGAGGCGAAGGCGGCUCCCUGGACAAUAGCUGACACUCAGGCACGAA